UUGAAUGGCCGCGGUAUUUUGACCGUGCUAAGGUAGCAUAAUCAUUAGUUUUUUAAUUGAAAACUAGAAUGAAGGGUUGGAUGAAAAAAUAGCUGUCUUUAUUUAAUUUUGUUAGAAUUUUAUUUUUUAGUUAAAAAGCUAAAAUAAUUUUAAAAGACGAGAAGACCCUAUAGAGUUUAAUAGAUAAUAAUUUUAAUUAUUUGAUAUUUUAAUAUUAUUAUUUUUUUGAUUGGGGUGAUUAAAAAAUUUAAUGAACUUUUUUUUAUUUUUAUAUUUAUUUAUAGAUAAUUGAUCCAAUAAAAUUGAUUAAAAGAAUAAAUUACCUUAGGGAUAACAGCGUAAUUUUAUUGGAGAGUU
rnacentral:rRNA from 1 species